CAAUCAGACUUACAUCUGGAAUAAGAGGGAAAGACAUCAGUGUAAAUAUCACAUGCUUCAUUCUGUUUGAACACACUGGAUUGGUCAGUCAGGCGUCUGAGCUGUUAUCCAGUAAAGGUUGACUGGACUCUACAGGUGAUUCUACAGGUUUUGGACAAUCUAGAAUUUUAAGCGGACUCAGAUCUCCUACACCUGGAUUAAACAGAGGAACAAUGACUGAUCCAGUGAAUCUGGUGCUCAUGGUCAGGAGAUGUUUCCUCUCUUUGACAUUGUAAAAUGACAGCUGACCGUCAUCAUAAUCUAACAGAACUCCCAGUUGUUCAGGUCUCGGCGUCAGUGAGAGUUUAACUGGUGGAUCUGAGUUGAUGUAAAGGCCAUUAGGACCGUCUGAACACAGAAACCAGAAACCGUUUGAUGGAGUUAAAGCAGAUUUGUCUUUUGAACGAAAACUUCCAUGUUUCACCACACCAAUUAACCAGUAGUUUUUAGGAGGUGUAUCUUCUCGUGCCAAUGAAACCUCCCAAUAGUGACGUCCAGAUGUAAAUCUUUGAGCUCCAAACG